GUAAUGUCUACACCCAACCUGGAGCUUGAACUCACAGCCCCGAGUUCAACGUCGUACGCUCCACGCACUGAGCCAGCCAGGCUCCCGCCAGACGUGUUUCUUACGUGUUCUUUCAUGGAAGCCAGGAGCACAAUUCCACGGGCCCUUAGGUCAAAAUUCUGGAGAAAGACCCCCCCUGGAGCCUGGUGUAAUCCAGACGUCAACUCUACAGUACCCAGGGCCAAUGCCUCCCAAAUAGCAACACAAGAGGCAUAAAGUCCCAAGAAACUCCAUGUUACGCAGACGGGGCAGGGGCAGGGCGGCGUUUAAACACGGGGGAGGUCACGCAGCACAACGCAGCCCUCACGCGACUUGCAGAAGGGGACAGGGCUCUUACCCGAUCCACGCUGCCUCCUGAGCAGGGGCGCGGCCCCGGGGCCUCCACGCCUGGCCCGAGCCUCUGGCGUCCUCCGCGCGGGGGUCCUGCCUCACAAGCGGCGCGCUCCGUCUCUGCAAGUCAGAGCAGCGCUUCCUAACCCCAUCGGUCCCCGAACGUCUCGUUCUGUCCACCUCGUUUUUGCUUCAGGGACAUUAGAAAUGGAGCGGGGUGGGGGUGGGGGGCAGGCGCUCCGGGGAAGUCUGACUUCGGGCGGCAGCGCCGGCAACACCGGGUCUUGAGUAUAAACUGCGCAGGAAGUACAAGGUAACUCCUUCAUGGGAGGCCGGAGCUUAAUCCCACCAAGAAAUGCUGCCGAACGGUGUAAAACUGUUGCCUCAUAGUUUUCCCACUCAGGCGGCGGGAGAGCCCGGCCACCUGCUGGCCAGCUGGCCUCGGCUUUUUGAGGGCUGCUCUGUGCGCGUGCGCGCGUAUGUGUACGCAUGCGCUCUGCGUGCGUCUGCGCAUGCGCCCGUGUGCGUGUGCACGUGUGCCCAUUGCAUGUCCUCGCCCCUCGCUCAUAAACAAAGGACUUCGUGCAAGAGAGUGACGGCUGAGAAGCAGGAGCGCCCUGCGGAGCAAGGUCCUGGUUCACAGCUUCCUAAACCCUUGGAACUUCGUCCUAUACAACACAGAUCUGCAAAGAAAUAUCUAUCUAAUCAAGGUCAAGUCUUCAACAAUGAAAAUUUGUUUCACCGAUAAUCAAUCUUCUCUCCAACUGAUCUUCCCAGAUACACAAUAGAUACAUAGUAACUUCUCAUUUUCAUGCUGAAUUAUAGUAUGAUCUUUCUGAAGAUGCCGUCACACAUGCACCUAACAGUGCAGACUAUCCAGAUGAGCAGCGAUGAUAACGUAAACAGCCACGACCAGGCUCCGGUUCGUAAAGCACAAAUACGUCCUCACUAAUGCCUGGGGAAGAGUAACACACAACGCUGUGGAUUCUUAGACCUACGCACGCUGAUUUCAGGGGCAAUAAAAUCUUAGUGUCAAUAUCAUUUACUAAGUUUUGAUAUCUAAUAAGGAGAAUCCUUCCCUC